rnacentral:lncRNA from 1 species
GCUUCCAUUGCUUUCUUUGUCAUCUGCUUCCUCUAACUGUUGAAUAUCCUCACAUUGUGAUGGGUUUUCCACAACUGAUGUAGACUCAAGAGCCAAUAUGUAAUCAACCAAAUCCUUGCUCCCGAUGUACUCUCCAAAAGUGCUAAUAUCAUCCUUUGUUGUACUAAACAUCAUACAUUGCUCUAGAGGAUCUUCAAUACAUAAUUUCUCAUCUCUC